AUGCGAAUGUCUCGAAUGUGGAAACUGCAUGCACUAUAGAGCUUAUGGCAAUGAUACCUUGGUGGGUCGAUGGCAAUAAUCCUCGGUCCUAUGCCCAAAUUCACGAACAGAUGGUUUAUGGAUUUGAGCUUUCAUGGCUUCCAAUUGCGGGUAAGAUGUAUUGCAAACGUCAUUAUUAUUGGGAAAUCAGCAGAAAGCACCAAAUUCAGUGCUGACGCAAGAAAGGUAAGAACUUUUGAGUUUGUUCAGUUUUCUCAAA